AUCAAUGUAACGCCUUGAAAACACACAUGCACCGGCACAUGGUCCCGGGUGCUGUCGCGGCUCCUCCAGAGGGCUUCGGCGGUCGGAUCCAUGGGGUGCGUGGAGGCCUAACC
rnacentral:sRNA from 1 species